rnacentral:rRNA from 1 species
UACGGAGGGUGCAAGCGUUAUCCGGAUUCACUGGGUUUAAAGGGUGCGUAGGUGGGUUGGUAAGUCAGUGGUGAAAUCCCCGAGCUUAACUUGGGAACUGCCAUUGAUACUAUCAGUCUUGAAUACCGUGGAGGUCAGCGGAAUAUGUCAUGUAGCGGUGAAAUGCUUAGAUAUGACAUAGAACACCAAUUGCGAAGGCAGCUGGCUACACGGAUAUUGACACUGAGGCACGAAA